rnacentral:snRNA from 1 species
AUACUUACCUGACAGUGGAGAUACCAGGAUCACAAAGGUGUUUUUCCCAGGGCAAGGCUUAACCAUUGCACUCUGGAUGUGCUGACCCCUGCUAUUUCCCCAAAUGUGUGAGAAACCUGACUGCAUAACUUGUAGGGGGGAUUGCAUUCUCACUCUCCAC